rnacentral:rRNA from 1 species
AGAGUUUGAUCCUGGCUCAGAUUGAACGCUGGCGGCAGGCCUAACACAUGCAAGUCGAGCGGAUGAAGGGAGCUUGUUCCCUGAUUUAGCGGCGGACGGGUGAGUAAUGCCUAGGAAUCUGCCUGGUAGUGGGGGAUAACGUUCCGAAAGGAACGCUAAUACCGCAUACGUCCUACGGGAGAAAGCAGGGGACCUUCGGGCCUUGCGCUAUCAGAUGAGCCUAGGUCGGAUUAGCUAGUUGGUGAGGUAAUGGCUCACCAAGGCGACGAUCCGUAACUGGUCUGAGAGGAUGAUCAGUCACACUGGAACUGAGACACGGUCCAGACUCCUACGGGAGGCAGCAGUGGGGAAUAUUGGACAAUGGGCGAAAGCCUGAUCCAGCCAUGCCGCGUGUGUGAAGAAGGUCUUCGGGUUGUAAAGCACUUUAAGUUGGGAGGAAGG